rnacentral:rRNA from 3 species
GGUUAAGCGACUAAGCGUACACGGUGGAUGCCCUGGCAGUCAGAGGCGAUGAAGGACGUGCUAAUCUGCGAAAAGCGUCGGUAAGGUGAUAUGAACCGUUAUAACCGGCGAUGUCCGAAUGGGGAAACCCAGUGCAAUUCGUUGCACUAUCGUUAACUGAAUACAUAGGUUAACGAGGCGAACCGGGGGAACUGAAACAUCUAAGUACCCCGAGGAAAAGAAAUCAACCGAGAUUCCCCCAGUAGCGGCGAGCGAACGGGGAGCAGCCCAGAGUCUGAAUCAGCUUGUGUGUUAGUGGAACGGUCUGGAAAGUCCGACGGUACAGGGUGAUAGUCCCGUACACCAAAAUGCACAGGCUGUGAACUCGAAGAGUAGGGCGGGACACGUGGUAUCCUGUCUGAAUAUGGGGGGACCAUCCUCCAAGGCUAAAUACUCCUGACUGACCGAUAGUGAACCAGUACCGUGAGGGAAAGGCGAAAAGAACCCCGGCGAGGGGAGUGAAAAAGAACCUGAAACCGUGUACGUACAAGCAGUGGGAGCACCUUCGGGUGUGACUGCGUACCUUUUGUAUAAUGGGUCAGCGACUUAUAUUCUGUAGCAAGGUUAACCGUAUAGGGGAGCCGCAGGGAAACCGAGUCUUAACUGGGCGUUAAGUUGCAGGGUAUAGACCCGAAACCCGGUGAUCUAGCCAUGGGCAGGUUGAAGGUUGGGUAACACUAACUGGAGGACCGAACCGACUAAUGUUGAAAAAUUAGCGGAUGACUUGUGGCUGGGGGUGAAAGGCCAAUCAAACCGGGAGAUAGCUGGUUCUCCCCGAAAGCUAUUUAGGUAGCGCCUCGUGAAUUCAUCUUCGGGGGUAGAGCACUGUUUCGGCUAGGGGGUCAUCCCGACUUACCAACCCGAUGCAAACUACGAAUACCGAAGAAUGUUAUCACGGGAGACACACGGCGGGUGCUAACGUCCGUCGUGAAGAGGGAAACAACCCAGACCGCCAGCUAAGGUCCCAAAGUCAUGGUUAAGUGGGAAACGAUGUGGGAAGGCACAGACAGCCAGGAUGUUGGCUUAGAAGCAGCCAUCAUUUAAAGAAAGCGUAAUAGCUCACUGGUCGAGUCGGCCUGCGCGGAAGAUGUAACGGGGCUAAACCAUGCACCGAAGCUGCGGCAGCGACACUAUGUGUUGUUGGGUAGGGGAGCGUUCUGUAAGCCUGCGAAGGUGACCUGUGAGGGUUGCUGGAGGUAUCAGAAGUGCGAAUGCUGACAUAAGUAACGAUAAAGCGGGUGAAAAGCCCGCUCGCCGGAAGACCAAGGGUUCCUGUCCAACGUUAAUCGGGGCAGGGUGAGUCGACCCCUAAGGCGAGGCCGAAAGGCGUAGUCGAUGGGAAACAGGUUAAUAUUCCUGUACUUGGUGUUACUGCGAAGGGGGGACGGAGAAGGCUAUGUUAGCCGGGCGACGGUUGUCCCGGUUUAAGCAUGUAGGCUGGUUAUCCAGGCAAAUCCGGAUAAUCAAGGCUGAGGUGUGAUGACGAGGCACUACGGUGCUGAAGUAACAAAUGCCCUGCUUCCAGGAAAAGCCUCUAAGCAUCAGGUAACAUCAAAUCGUACCCCAAACCGACACAGGUGGUCAGGUAGAGAAUACCAAGGCGCUUGAGAGAACUCGGGUGAAGGAACUAGGCAAAAUGGUGCCGUAACUUCGGGAGAAGGCACGCUGGUGUGUAGGUGAAGUCCCUGCGGAUGGAGCUGAGACCAGUCGAAGAUACCAGCUGGCUGCAACUGUUUAUUAAAAACACAGCACUGUGCAAACACGAAAGUGGACGUAUACGGUGUGACGCCUGCCCGGUGCCGGAAGGUUAAUUGAUGGGGUUAUCCGUAAGGAGAAGCUCUUGAUCGAAGCCCCGGUAAACGGCGGCCGUAACUAUAACGGUCCUAAGGUAGCGAAAUUCCUUGUCGGGUAAGUUCCGACCUGCACGAAUGGCGUAAUGAUGGCCAGGCUGUCUCCACCCGAGACUCAGUGAAAUUGAACUCGCUGUGAAGAUGCAGUGUACCCGCGGCAAGACGGAAAGACCCCGUGAACCUUUACUAUAGCUUGACACUGAACAUUGAGCCUUGAUGUGUAGGAUAGGUGGGAGGCUUUGAAGCGUGGACGCCAGUCUGCGUGGAGCCAACCUUGAAAUACCACCCUUUAAUGUUUGAUGUUCUAACGUUGGCCCCUUACCGGGGUUGCGGACAGUGUCUGGUGGGUAGUUUGACUGGGGCGGUCUCCUCCCAAAGCGUAACGGAGGAGCACGAAGGUUAGCUAAUCCUGGUCGGACAUCAGGAGGUUAGUGCAAUGGCAUAAGCUAGCUUGACUGCGAGCGUGACGGCGCGAGCAGGUGCGAAAGCAGGUCAUAGUGAUCCGGUGGUUCUGAAUGGAAGGGCCAUCGCUCAACGGAUAAAAGGUACUCCGGGGAUAACAGGCUGAUACCGCCCAAGAGUUCAUAUCGACGGCGGUGUUUGGCACCUCGAUGUCGGCUCAUCACAUCCUGGGGCUGAAGUAGGUCCCAAGGGUAUGGCUGUUCGCCAUUUAAAGUGGUACGCGAGCUGGGUUUAGAACGUCGUGAGACAGUUCGGUCCCUAUCUGCCGUGGGCGCUGGAGAAUUGAGGGGGGCUGCUCCUAGUACGAGAGGACCGGAGUGGACGCAUCACUGGUGUUCGGGUUGUCAUGCCAAUGGCACUGCCCGGUAGCUAAAUGCGGAAGAGAUAAGUGCUGAAAGCAUCUAAGCACGAAACUUGCCCCGAGAUGAGUUCUCCCUGAGACUUUAAGUCUCCUGAAGGAACGUUGAAGACGACGACGUUGAUAGGCCGGGUGUGUAAGCGCAGCGAUGCGUUGAGCUAACCGGUACUAAUGAACCGUGAGGCUUAACCUU